UACGUAGGGUGCAAGCGUUGUCCGGAAUUAUUGGGCGUAAAGAGCUCGUAGGCGGUUUGUCGCGUCUGUCGUGAAAACUCAGGGCUUAACCCUGAGUCUGCGGUGGGUACGGGCAGACUAGAGUGUGGUAGGGGAGAGCGGAAUUCCUGGUGUAGCGGUGGAAUGCGCAGAUAUCAGGAGGAACACCGGUGGCGAAGGCGGAUCUCUGGGCCAUAACUGACGCUGAGGAGCGAAAGCAUGGGGAGCGAACAGG
rnacentral:rRNA from 1 species